ACGAACGCUGGCGGCGUGCUUAACACAUGCAAGUCGAACGGAAAGGCCCCUUUGGGGGUACUCGAGUGGCGAACGGGUGAGUAACACGUGAGUAACCUGCCCUUGACUUCGGGAUAACUUCAGGAAACUGGGGCUAAUACCGGAUAGGAAUCCUUGCUGCAUGGUGGGGGUUGGAAAGCUUCGGCGGUUUUGGAUGGACUCGCGGCUUAUCAGCUUGUUGGUGGGGUAGUGGCUUACCAAGGCUUUGACGGGUAGCCGGCCUGAGAGGGCGACCGGCCACAUUGGGACUGAGAUACGGCCCAGACUCCUACGGGAGGCAGCAGUGGGGAAUAUUGCACAAUGGGCGGAAGCCUGAUGCAGCAACGCCGCGUGCGGGAUGACGGCCUUCGGGUUGUAAACCGCUUUCAGCAGGGGCGAAGCUUUUGUGACGGUACCUGCAGAAGAAGCACCGGCUAGCUACGUG
rnacentral:rRNA from 1 species